ACAGUUUUCUCUCCCUUGCAUGGGACUGUUCAGUGUUCACCCAUCUUCUCUCCUCAGUCCCUCUUCUCUCUCGCUCGAAGCAACCUGAAGCCUCUUGCUGCUUUGCAGAGUUGCAGACGUGCAGACUCAGCUCUCUCUCUCUAGUCUCUUGCAUCUCUCUCUCUCUCUCUCUCUCUCUCUGUGUCUCGAAGCUCUCUCUAUCUGUGUUUCUCACUCUCUAACUCAGUCUCUCUUGUUAGCUCUCUGUGGUGGUUGGAUCGUGGAAGCUUUCUCUACGAAUUACAAGCACCGAAAAAAACGAUCCAGGAGAUAACUUUGAAGAAUAUUUUGAAUGAGGCCCAUUGAAGAUUACAACAAGGCCAAAGCUAUAAGGGCGUAGUAUGGAUAUGGUGAAUUAUUCUUCAUGAAAAAUGAUUUUUCUUUCUUUCAGGGAAAGGGUGAUUAUGUUUUUGUGGUUCAGUGACAUUCUUUUGGAAUCUCAUGCAUUUUGUGCAUGAAUUUGUUGUUUGGAUAUGGUACGAAUGCCUGUGACGCAUUUGAAAACACGACUCACUUGAGUUUCAAUUGUUCAAAUGUGACUUUAAAAAUAUUGAAUGUUGUUCUCUUGGGUACC